UUUUCCAAUCGUUGGUGGAAUCUGCUGGCACACGGAAUAUCUCCGGCGCACACUCGUGCUCGUGGCCGGCGCAAAAUGGGCAUUCUGUUUGAUUGUUCGGUUGUGGAUUCGAUUUGGCCUUGAAGUCCGACGGUCGGCGCGAUCUCGCCGGAGAGAACAGUAUCCACCUGUUGUGGAUUUUGUCUUUACGGAUUUCGGGGCUCCGAUUUGGCGUUUCUGCCUCCGCCAUUUUAGUUUCG
rnacentral:misc_RNA from 1 species